AGAAUCUGAGCAGGAAACGAAUCUGGUCAAAGCACAUGGUUGGAUUUUCAUGACCCAGUGCUUCGAAAAGGCCAAACCUCACCUCUGCUCCACCUGCCCCCACUCUUGGAUCCAGCAGCCUCACACUUCCCACGCCUCUGCCCUGACAUCUGCCUCCCUAGAAGGAUGAAGAGCAGCAGCGCCUGGAAUUCCAACCACCUGCCACAGUCUUGCAUGGCACAGGUGAGUUUUGUGGGAGAUGGGGUGGGGUGGAGAGUAGACAAUGUUUCUGGCAUUUUCACGAAUGGCCACUCUGAUGCUGGCCUCUCACUCUGUCCUGCCAGCAAAGGGUCAGACUAGGUGGUGGC
rnacentral:lncRNA from 1 species